UCACUAGUGUUCCUGAGACAGACUUGAAACAAGGACUUUGCACUUGUGCAGAGGGGCUGAGGAAAGUAAAGGGCAAUUGCGUGGGCUUCUCUGAAGAAAAACUUUCCUAAGUUACUCUGUGAUCCAGUCCUGUUGAAUGCCUAGCCACUAGAGGCCAGAGAUACAGAAAUGAAAAGGCCGGAUCCUCGCCUUCAGUUUCCUUGCAAUCGUCACCUUAGUUUUCCUGGAGACUCCACUGAGGCACGGUCUGCACUUUCCAUCACUAUGGACCCCAACCUUGGACCAGAUAUGGUAUCUACAGAAGCCCCUUGUGUCUUGCUGCUUGUGGCUUGUCAAAUCUAUGCCAACAUGGUAAUAAGAGUCCGUGAAGCAGAAGUCCACUGCAGCUCGCUGAACAAAGCCAAGACAGAUCAUCAACCGAGUGUCUAUUGUCAGAUUGACUCAAAGGCUAGUGUUCUCUCUGUUUUCUGUGCUUACUGAUUGCAUGUCACUUGAGUCAUAACCUUAAAUGUCAACCACAUUUGAUUAAGACUUUCAUCUCAGUCAGAUAGUUCUUGUUCCUUUUUUUCAUUGUUAUAAAAAUCGUGUCAUGUGCUAAAAAUCAUUUUUAAUGUAUUUUUUUUGUUAAAAAAAAAAGUCCAACAGCUCAAAAAUGUAUGCAGAAAUAGAAGCUUCACAAUUUCCAUAUAGAAGGGAUUUAGAAGUAGCCAUGUAUUCGGAACAUUCUUCUCCCAAGUAGUAACAUAACAGCCAUCACUUUUACCCUCAAUUCUGUCAAUUCUUGCAUUGAGUGUUUGACAAUUAUUUGUUUCUUGUGGCCAAAUCACGCUAACGUGUGCCUCAUCUUCACAUCUGCCUCCCUGUGUAUCCUCUCCUCUUUGUCUCAAAACUUCUCUCUGCCUUUCUUUGCUAAGGACACUUGUCAUUGGAUUUAGCACCAGCCAAGAUAAUCUGAGAUGAUCUCAUUGCAAGAUCCUUAACUAAAUUACAUCUGUAAAGAUCAUUUUUCCAAAAUAGAUAGUAUCCACAGGUUCUGGGAAUUUGACAUGGACAUAUCUUUUGGGGGAAUCACUAUUCAACCCACUAAAACCACCUUAUAUAAGAGAGUGCCCACCCAUUCUAUAAAAGAAUGUGCACCCAUCCACACCACCGUCAUUUAGUACUCACCCUGCAUUAUUCUUUUUCGUAGGAUUUGUCAUCAUUUUACAUUCUAAUGUGCUAUUAGUUACUUGUUAUUGUUCGUCUCCCCCAGGAGAAUGGAAGAUUCAUGAGAAAAGAGAUGGGUUUACUCUUUUUUUUAACGGUUUAAGUUUCAGCUGCUCAUCGCUCACAAAUCAAUAUUCAAGAGACAAGGUUGGUAGAAAGAAAAGCAGGUUUGUUCGAAAUGGUAGCAUACUGGGAGGAUAGCGGACGCCUGUCCAAAGGCCAUCUCCUCGUUCCUAGAAUGGUCAGAAGUUUUUAUAGAUACACAAGAAGAAACAGAACAAAGGAAAGGGAGAGUGAGUCAUGUGACUCUCCUGGGGCCUGGGGAGUUAGUCAUGUGACUCUCCUGGGGUCUGGUUUGUUCUGCGGUAGUUAUCUUGAACCCUGUCUUAGGGGUGAUUCAUAUGUCAUCUGAGAGAAAAUCACCAUCCAGAAUUGCAGCCUAGUUGCCAGUGUCCUGAUGGCUGAGGGCUGACUCAGUUUCUUGCAAGUUAGUGUUCUGCUGAUUAACUAGAUUAAUGAGGUAUGCAUGUAGCCUUGGGAAAGCAGAGCAAUUAAAUCAUCAGUGAGGGAGAGAAAUAAAGAAUACGAAAAAAAUAAUAAACUACGAAAUAAAUUAAAUCAAACUAUAAUUCAGUAAAACAAGCUAGAUUGCUAAAUCCUUGAAAGUAUACUGUCACCCUUACACUUUCUCCCCAGCAUUAGAAUAGCACCUGGCACAAUUCAUUUGAUGAAUGAAUGAACGGAGGAGGUAGGAAACCUUCUUGAGUCUGUGUUUGCUUACUAAGCAUGGUUUUCUACUUACAGCAUAUGUUCAUUUGGGGUGCCUUGGGGGGAGCAGGAUUGCUGAUGGAGCUCAACCAGGACCAAUAAGACACCCCAUCGUCCUGCCACUUAUAUAUAGAGAAAGCAGAUCUCGUGCCCACCUCAAUCUCUACUCUCCCAUUCCCUCUCCAAAGGCAACCAGUUAUCACUCUUCUGUGUAUAUUUCCAAAAACAUUUAGUGCAAGUAUAUGCAUCUAAGAUUGAGACUAACCUUCAACAGUGUUAUACAGCUAUAUGUUGAGUUCAUUUAUUAGAGGAAUCAAACAUUUGUUUACAAUGUCUCUUUAAACAAAAGUUCUGAUCCUUUGGGGAAGGCUUUGGACUCGUUGAAUUUCCAAUUAAAUCCGAACUCUAACCCAUACAGCCCAGACCCAUAAGUCUACUAAAUCUCUAAUCUCAUUUUGUGUCAUGAUCCACCCUCUGGCAUCUAGACAGAGAAGGGUGAGGUGAUCAGGACCUUCAACACAAGGGCUGAAAAUUUUGGCAUGAGAUUUGUACUGAAAGGCAACACAGUGAGGCUCUAGACCACCUUCAGGACCUCGUGUCUUGCUUCCCCCUCUCACCACCUCCACCCGGCCACUCUCCAGAGAUCUCCAGUGCCUAAUGCACACCAAGCACUCCUCAGAGCCUUUGCUCAACCUGCCCCCCUGCCAGGAUUACCCUUUCCUUCAUUCUUUCUAUGAACCGUUCUUUCUCAUCGCUCAAGUCUCCACAAAAAUGUCAUCUGUCAUGUGAAGCUUUCCUUGUCCUUCUAUUUGACCAGCAAAAAGCAACAGCUGGAUUGUUAAGGGAAAAAAAAGACCAGAAAUUUCAGGUGAGAUUUUACAUGAGCCAAGCCUCUCCCCUUUCCUAAUCUAGGCCCCUCUUAUUUGCUUUCAUAGAAGCCUGUACUUCCUCCACACAGCUCUCAGCAUACUGUAUUGUAAUUGCCUAUUCAUUUAUCUGUAAGUUCCAUCUCAUCAUGAUCUCCAUGAGGGCAAGAACCUUGAAAUCUUUGCUGAGUUAUGUGAGUUUUUCUAGUAAAUUAUAGAACCCAAGGAGGUCAUGGAGCCCCCAAAUUUGUAGCCAGUUGGUCAUCAAUGGGGGUGGCCUGGGGACCUGCAAAGUGUGGCUGGCAUCUGAAGUGAGGGUAGUCUUACAGAGGACUGAUCCCUUAACUUGUGGGAUCUGUGCGAACUCUGAUGGUUAGUGCCAAAACUGAAUUAUAGUACACCAGUUGGCAUUGGAAUGCCUAUCCUGAGUCUUCUAGUGGCUUCUUGCUCCAGGGUAUAAAAGAACCUGAGUCUUCCCACAAAGAUUGAAUUUGAAAUAUUCAAUAAAUAUUCAAUAUUCAAUAAAGAAGGCAAAGCCUCCUUUAACAGAGGCCUCCUAAAGAAUCAGCAGUGCUUCAUGUCUUGUCUUAUUAAAGGUGAUGGUGAUAUUGGACAUGGUACAUGUAGGCCUGUGUUAGAAUGUUCUGUAUACAUAGGUAUUGUAGAGUGAAGCUGUAGAGAGAUGACAAAUUUAAGUUAAAAGAUUUUGUCUCUCCUAAACACUAAUAUCAAAGAAUGGACCCCCUUAGGGAAUAUUCCAUGGGAACAAAGUAAAGAAAGUAUCUGUGAGAAAUACUGAAGGCAGCAGAGCCUUAGAAUUCAAAACUGAGAUGCUGAUGUAGGGUAUUUUAACAUGUUGAUGUGAAUUGAAAAAAGUCUGUUUGGGCUGAUUGAUUGAAUAAUGAAGGCUGGCUUUGCCAAUUAACUUUUAAGUUAUAUGUUGUACAUACAUUGAAUGAGAGAAAUCUGUAGUUCUAAAGUAUUAAAAAAGAUACUUAAAGCAUUUUAAUAAAUAAUAUAUUGACAAAAA